AUGACUUCUCAGCCUUUUGACUAAGAUCAAGUGUAGUAUCUGUUCUUAUCAGUUUAAUAACUGCUAUGUCCUCUAUCUGAGGAUAAUAUAUUAAAUGGAUUUUUGGAGGAGGGAGAUGGAAUAGGAGCUUGCUCUGUCCACUUUACUCAUCGACCUGGUAUUGUAGUACUUCCAGGAACGAUGCAACCCCU
ensembl:snRNA U2 U2 spliceosomal RNA